rnacentral:rRNA from 1 species
GACGAACGCUGGCGGCGUGCCUAAUACAUGCAAGUAGAACGCUGAAGAGAGGAGCUUGCUCUUCUUGGAUGAGUUGCGGACGGGUGAGUAACGCGUAGGUAACCUGCCUUGUAGCGGGGGAUAACUAUUGGAAACGAUAGCUAAUACCGCAUAACAAUAGGUGACACAUGUCAUUUAUUUGAAAGGGGCAAUUGCUCCACUACAAGAUGGACCUGCGUUGUAUUAGCUAGUAGGUGAGGUAACGGCUCACCUAGGCGACGAUACAUAGCCGACCUGAGAGGGUGAUCGGCCACACUGGGACUGAGACACGGCCCAGACUCCUACGGGAGGCAGCAGUAGGGAAUCUUCGGCAAUGGGGGCAACCCUGACCGAGCAACGCCGCGUGAGUGAAGAAGGUUUUCGGAUCGUAAAGCUCUGUUGUAAGUCAAGAACGAGUGUGAGAGUGGAAAGUUCACACUGUGACGGUAGCUUACCAGAAAGG